CUGCUUGCAUUGUAACUAUCCCAGCUGGAUGGACACAAUCGCAGAAGGAUAUGAGGCUACUGUAUCAAAACCAAAUCUGGACAAACACUGUGUAUACA